rnacentral:rRNA from 1 species
UACGUAGGCAGCAAGCGUUGUUCGGAGUUACUGGGCGUAAAGGGUGUGUAGGCGGUCGGAUAAGUGUGGUGUGAAAUCUCCCGGCUCAACUGGGAGGGUGCGCUACAACUGUCUGGCUAGAGUGACGGGAUGGGAAAGUGGAAUUCCGUGGAUGUAGCGGUGAAAUGCGCAGACUAGUCAGGAAGAACACCCGUGGCUAAGGCGGCUCUCUAGUACGGUACUGGACGCUGAGACGCGAAAGCCGUGGGGAGCGAACAGG